GAUGAACGCUGGCGGCGUGCCUAAUACAUGCAAGUCGAGCGAACGGACGAGAAGCUUGCUUCUCUGAUGUUAGCGGCGGACGGGUGAGUAACACGUGGAUAACCUACCUAUAAGACUGGGAUAACUUCGGGAAACCGGAGCUAAUACCGGAUAAUAUUUUGAACCGCAUGGUUCAAAGGUGAAAGACGGUCUUGCUGUCACUUAUAGAUGGAUCCGCGCUGCAUUAGCUAGUUGGUAAGGUAACGGCUUACCAAGGCAACGAUGCAUAGCCGACCUGAGAGGGUGAUCGGCCACACUGGAACUGAGACACGGUCCAGACUCCUACGGGAGGCAGCAGUAGGGAAUCUUCCGCAAUGGGCGAAAGCCUGGCGGAGCAACGCCGCGUGAGUGAUGAAGGUCUUCGGAUCGUAAAACUCUGUUAUUAGUGAAGAACAUAUGUGUAAGUAACUGUGCACAUCUUGACGGUACCUAAUCAGAAAGCCACGGCUAACUACGUG
rnacentral:rRNA from 1 species